CAAACCAAAGCUGGCGACCGGCGCACGGGUGAGUAACACGUAUCCAACCUGCCUCAUACUCGGGGAUAGCCUUUCGAAAGAAAGAUUAAUGUCCGAUAGCAUAUAUUUCCCGCAUGGGUUUUAUAUUAAAGAAAUUCGGUAUGAGAUGGGGAUGCGUUCCAUUAGUUUGUUGGGGGGUAACGGCCCACCAAGACUACGAUGGAUAGGGGUUCUGAGAGGAAGGUCCCCCACAUUGGAACUGAGACACGGUCCAA
rnacentral:rRNA from 1 species